GACGAACGCUGGCGGCGUGCUUAACACAUGCAAGUCGAACGGAAAGGCCCUGCUUUUGUGGGGUGCUCGAGUGGCGAACGGGUGAGUAACACGUGAGUAACCUGCCCUUGACUUUGGGAUAACUUCAGGAAACUGGGGCUAAUACCGGAUAGGAGCUCCUGCUGCAUGGUGGGGGUUGGAAAGUUUCGGCGGUUGGGGAUGGACUCGCGGCUUAUCAGCUUGUUGGUGGGGUAGUGGCUUACCAAGGCUUUGACGGGUAGCCGGCCUGAGAGGGUGACCGGCCACAUUGGGACUGAGAUACGGCCCAGACUCCUACGGGAGGCAGCAGUGGGGAAUAUUGCACAAUGGGCGGAAGCCUGAUGCAGCAACGCCGCGUGCGGGAUGACGGCCUUCGGGUUGUAAACCGCUUUCGCCUGUGACGAAGCGUGAGUGACGGUAAUGGGUAAAGAAGCACCGGCUAACUACGUGCCAGCAGCCGCGGUGAUACGUAGGGUGCGAGCGUUGUCCGGAUUUAUUGGGCGUAAAGGGCUCGUAGGUGGUUGAUCGCGUCGGAAGUGUAAUCUUGGGGCUUAACCCUGAGCGUGCUUUCGAUACGGGUUGACUUGAGGAAGGUAGGGGAGAAUGGAAUUCCUGGUGGAGCGGUGGAAUGCGCAGAUAUCAGGAGGAACACCAGUGGCGAAGGCGGUUCUCUGGGCCUUUCCUGACGCUGAGGAGCGAAAGCGUGGGGAGCGAACAGGCUUAGAUACCCUGGUAGUCCACGCUGUAAACGGUGGGUACUAGGUGUGGGGUCCAUUCCACGGGUUCCGUGCCGUAGCUAACGCUUUAAGUACCCCGCCUGGGGAGUACGGCCGCAAGGCUAAAACUCAAAGGAAUUGACGGGGCCCCGCACAAGCGGCGGAGCAUGCGGAUUAAUUCGAUGCAACGCGUAGAACCUUACCUGGGUUUGACAUGGAUCGGGAGUGCUCAGAGAUGGGUGUGCCUCUUUUGGGGUCGGUUCACAGGUGGUGCAUGGCUGUCGUCAGCUCGUGUCGUGAGAUGUCGGGUUAAGUCCCGCAACGAGCGCAACCCUUGUUCACUGUUGCCAGCACGUUAUGGUGGGGACUCAGUGGAGACCGCCGGGGUCAACUCGGAGGAAGGUGGGGAUGACGUCAAGUCAUCAUGCCCCUUAUGUCCAGGGCUUCACGCAUGCUACAAUGGCUGGUACAGAGAGUGGCGAGCCUGCGAGGGUGAGCGAAUCUCGGAAAGCCGGUCUCAGUUCGGAUUGGGGUCUGCAACUCGACCUCAUGAAGUCGGAGUCGCUAGUAAUCGCAGAUCAGCAACGCUGCGGUGAAUACGUUCCCGGG
rnacentral:rRNA from 1 species